CCAUUUGGACUUUUCUCUCUAGCUUCCGUGCUAACUUCUGUGAGCUCACUCUGCCCCUCCUCCUCCCUUUAGCUUUCUCAAGGUUAUCCAUUCACUUAGAGCAUUGCUUCUGGU
ensembl:misc_RNA